rnacentral:rRNA from 1 species
CUACGGGUGGCACCAGUAAGGAAUAUUGCGCAAUGGAGGCAACUCUGACGCAGCCAUGCCGCGUGCAGGAAGAAGGCCUUAUGGGUCGUAAACUGCUUUUAUUUAGGAAUAAACCCCCGAACGUGUUCGGGGCUGAAGGUACUAAACGAAUAAGCACCGGCUAACUGCGUGCCAGCAGCUGCGGUAAUACGGAGGGUGCAAGCGUUAUCCGGAUUUAUUGGGUUUAAAGGGUGCGCAGGCGGGCUAUUAAGUCAGUGGUGAAAUCCCGGGGCUCAACUCCGGAACUGCCAUUGAUACUGAUAGUCUUGAGUUUGGUUGAAGUGGGCGGAAUGUAGCAUGUAGCGGUGAAAUGCAUAGAUAUGCUACAGAACACCAAUCGCGAAGGCAGCUCACUAAGCCAAAACUGACGCUCAUGCACGAAAGCGUGGGGAUCAAACAGGAUUAGAUACCCCCGUAGUC